GCCUGCUGGAAGUUUGUUUUUGCUCUGCAGGAUUGAAGGGUUCUCCCUAUGCUGCUUUGAGCGCUGCUAUUGGGUGCCUUGAGGGGACCUCAAGUAAGCUCCAUUUUUGAAACAUGAGUCAAAGCCCCGGUGAAGAUUCUGUGACGGUUCAUUGUAUAAUUUAUGAUGAUGAAGAUUGAGUUGCAUUUUGCGGAAAAGAGAUGUUGAGAUAUCUAAGGCAUUGAGAAAUCUGUCAUGCAGACAUGCACACAGGGAGAGGGAGUACCCAAACUGAUGAGAACUUACAGGAAUUGGACCAUCUAAGCCCUUAGAAAGUGAAGUCCACUGUGUCUCAAACAAAGGAUGCAGUGACUUAUGAUGAUGUGCGUGUGAACUUCACUGAGGAAGAGUGGGAUUUGCUGGAUCCUUCCCAGAAAAGUCUCUAUGAAGAGGUGAUGCUAGAGACAUACCAGAACAUCACUGCUAUAGGCUACAAUUGGGAAGACCAUCAUAUUGAAGAACAUUGUCAAAGUUCUAGAAGACAUGAAAGGCAUGAAAGAAUUCAUAUUGGAGAGAAACCGUAUGAACGUAACCAAUGGGCUGAACUUGGUCACAUGUAAGAAUCAUCCAGGUGGUACUGGUUUUGAAGGCAUGACGGUGUCAUGAGGAGCAGCUGAGGCUUGGACCAAUGAAGGGAGCAUAAGUGAGACUAUCAGUGAAGCCUAGUUGCAGGAGAAGAACCCAACAUAUUGAAGAUGCCAGUCCAAUGGGAUGAGCAGAAAGAACAGCCCAGUAGAGUGGAGUCAACCAGAGCUUAGAGUGAUACAGAGGUCAGAGCUAGAGAAGUGACCUUAUCUCUUUGGAGGACUGCAGAAGAUCAUGUGUGGAUCCAAGACAUUGGAGCAAGAAGCUGUAACACUGAGGUUACCUUCCAGACCCCAAGAUCUUUGAGAUGUCAGAGCUGUGGGGUACCUGCUCAGGAAAACCAGCCAAAGAGAAAGAAUUGUGCUGCAGUUAACAAAGCAUAAAAGGAGUUGGAGAUCUAAAGAAUGCUUUAACAUGACACAUGGAGAUGCAGUUUCAAGAUUUCCAAGUUGACUUUUGGUUUUGUUUUCGUCCAGUAAUUCCUCAUGAUGACAUUUUGGAAUGGUGAAGUCUAUGUUGUGAAGUUGGAAUUAUAUGAUCUGCAUUUAGAUUUUUCUUUUUUAGGGGAUUACAGUUACAUUGAAUGAAUCUCAGAAGAGACUUUGACCUUUGGACUUUUAACGUAUUUGAGACUGGUAUAGAUGAUGGGGACUUUUGAGGUUGGACCUCGUGUAUUUUUCAUUAUGCAUGUUUAAAUAUGUUCCUUAUACAUUCCUGUACUCCAACAUGCUUAAGGGGGCCAGUGAGUGGAAUGUGGGAGUUUGAAUAUGCUUGUGACAGGGAGUGACUCUAUUCAGAGGUGUGACCUUGUAGGAGAAAGUGGAUAUCUCUGGGGGUGGACUUUGAAGCUCCACCAAGUGCAAAACAGACCCUCCUAUUCCCUCUCUGGAAGACAGUUUCUUCCUGGCUGCCUUUGGAUCAAAAUGCAGAACUCUCAGCUCCUUCUCCAGCAUCAUGUCUGCCUGCAUGCUGCUGUGCUUCCUCUGAAACUGUAAGCCAGCCCCAAUUAAAGGUUUGCUUUUAUGAGA
rnacentral:lncRNA from 1 species